rnacentral:rRNA from 1 species
AUCGAACGCUAGCGGGAUGCUUUACACAUGCAAGUCGAACGGCAGCGCGGACUUCGGUCUGGCGGCGAGUGGCGAACGGGUGAGUAAUGUAUCGGAACGUGCCCAGUAGCGGGGGAUAACUACGCGAAAGCGUAGCUAAUACCGCAUACGCCCUACGGGGGAAAGCAGGGGAUCGUAAGACCUUGCACUAUUGGAGCGGCCGAUAUCGGAUUAGCUAGUUGGUGAGGUAACGGCCCACCAAGGCGACGAUCCGUAGCUGGUUUGAGAGGACGACCAGCCACACUGGGACUGAGACACGGCCCAGACUCCUACGGGAGGCAGCAGUGGGGAAUUUUGGACAAUGGGGGCAACCCUGAUCCAGCCAUCCCGCGUGUGCGAUGAAGGCCUUCGGGUUGUAAAGCACUUUUGGCAGGAAAGAAACGUCGCGGGCUAAUACCCCGUGGAACUGACGGUACCUGCAGAAUAAGCACCGGCUAACUACGUG